UACGUAGGAUGCAAGCGUUGUCCGGAAUUAUUGGGCGUAAAGAGCGAGCAGGCGGUUUGGAAAGUUGGACGUGAAAUUAUAGGGCUUAACCCUAAAGGGUCGUCCAAAACUCCCAGACUAGAGUGCAGGAGAGGAAAGCGGAAUUCCCGGUGUAGUGGUGAAAUGCGUAGAUAUCGGGAGGAACACCAGAGGCGAAGGCGGCUUUCUGGCCUGUAACUGACGCUGAGGCGCGACAGCGUGGGGAGCAAACAGG
rnacentral:rRNA from 1 species